rnacentral:rRNA from 1 species
GAUGAACGCUGGCGGCGUUCCUAAUACAUGCAAGUCGAGCGAGCGGCGGACGGGUGAGUAAUGUCUGGGAAACUGCCUGAUGGAGGGGGAUAACUACUGGAAACGGUAGCUAAUACCGCAUACCCUCAGAUGUGCCCAGAUGGGAUUAGCUAGUAGGUGGGGUAAAGGCUCACCUAGGCGACGAGCCCUGGCUGGUCUGAGAGGAUGACCAGCCACCCUGGAACUGAGACACGGUCCAGACUCCUACGGGAGGCAGCAGUGGGGAAGAUUGCACAAUGGGCGUAAGCCUGAUGCAGCCAUGCCGCGUGUGGGAAGAAGGCCUUAGGGUUGUAAAGCACUUUCAGCGAGGAGGCGUUACUCGCAGAAGAAGCACCGGCUAACUCCGUGCCAGCAGCCGCGGUAAUAC